UACGUAGGGGGCUAGCGUUGUCCGGAAUCAUUGGGCGUAAAGCGCGUGUAGGCGGCCCGAUAAGUCCGCUGUGAAAGUCCAGGGCUCAACCCUGGGAUGCCGGUGGAUACUGUCGGGCUCGAGUCCGGAAGAGGCGAGUGGAAUUCCUGGUGUAGCGGUGAAAUGCGCAGAUAUCAGGAGGAACACCAGUGGCGAAGGCGGCACUCUGGGCCGGUACUGACGCUGAGGAGCGAAAGCGUGGGGAGCGAACAGG
rnacentral:rRNA from 1 species